rnacentral:lncRNA from 1 species
UGUGGGGAGCAGGGAGCAGCUGUAGCAGCCUUGGGCUCCAGGACAUCCUGACGUCCACACCCUCCCUCUCUCCUCCCCUCCACUCCAAGUAGGUCAGGCUCUUCCUGGAGUCUGAACACCACUGGACCGUGGCAGCUGGAGUCCUUCUCAUCAUGCACAGCCUCUUCUCCUUCCUACCCCCCUCAUCCUUCAAGUCCUACCUCCACCAUGAAGUUUCCAGGCCUCUCUAGCUUCCUGAGUUUACAAGCUCCCUCCUGAGUUCUCAAAACCAGGGUUACCUGCCCCUCCUUCUUGACCCCCAUUACCUCAAGCUGGAAGCAAGGUUCCCAGGCAGGGCCUGGGACAGGGGCCUUGCACAAAGAAAGUGCUUGAUAAAGC